GUCAUUCUGCAAAAAUUCAUUGAACACCUGUUAUGGAAAUAUAAAGAUACAAGCCAUAGCCUCUGCUCACAAGGGAAAGAAAGCAUAACUCUAAAGAGAAUCCUAGUCAUAUUUAUUCGCUUUGCUACCGACCCUCAAAGGUUCUGAUUCUCCAAGUCUGAGGAGGAUUCUGAGCAUCUCUGCUUCUUAAAAACUCCACAGCCUUCAAGAAAGUCUCUGAAAGAACAGAGAUUUCAAGGACCACAGAUGACGAGAUACACAGACUUUGCAAACACACUUAGGAAAAGUCACUAAAUGAUAGACUGCUAUAGCCUUCAAUAAUCAAAAAAUAAAAAACAGCAAACCCUAGAGAAGGGGGAGAAUCUGAU